rnacentral:rRNA from 1 species
ACGCUGGCGGCGUGCUUAACACAUGCAAGUCGAACGCUGAAGCCCAGCUUGCUGGGUGGAUGAGUGGCGAACGGGUGAGUAACACGUGAGUAACCUGCCCCCUUCUUUGGGAUAACGCCCGGAAACGGGUGCUAAUACUGGAUAUUCACUGAUCUUCGCAUGGGGGUUGGUGGAAAGGUUUUUUCUGGUGGGGGAUGGGCUCGCGGCCUAUCAGCUUGUUGGUGGGGUGAUGGCCUACCAAGGCUUUGACGGGUAGCCGGCCUGAGAGGGUGACCGGUCACAUUGGGACUGAGAUACGGCCCAGACUCCUACGGGAGGCAGCAGUGGGGAAUAUUGCACAAUGGGCGAAAGCCUGAUGCAGCGACGCCGCGUGAGGGAUGACGGCCUUCGGGUUGUAAACCUCUUUCGCUCAUGGUCAAGCCGCAGCUUUGGGUUGUGGUGAGGGUAGUGGGUAAAGAAGCGCCGGCUAACUACGUGCCAGCAGCCGCGGUAAUACGUAGGGCGCGAGCGUUGUCCGGAAUUAUUGGGCGUAAAGGGCUUGUAGGCGGUUGGUCGCGUCUGCCGUGAAAUCCUCUGGCUUAACUGGGGGCGUGCGGUGGGUACGGGCUGACUUGAGUGCGGUAGGGGAGACUGGAACUCCUGGUGUAGCGGUGGAAUGCGCAGAUAUCAGGAAGAACACCGGUGGCGAAGGCGGGUCUCUGGGCCGUUACUGACGCUGAGGAGCGAAAGCGUGGGGAGCGAACAGGAUUAGAUACCCUGGUAGUCCACGCUGUAAACGUUGGGCACUAGGUGUGGGGGCCACCCGUGUUUUCUGCGCCGUAGCUAACGCUUUAAGUGCCCCGCCUGGGGAGUACGGCCGCAAGGCUAAAACUCAAAGGAAUUGACGGGGGCCCGCACAAGCGGCGGA